rnacentral:rRNA from 1 species
UACAGAGGUCUCAAGCGUUGUUCGGAUUCAUUGGGCGUAAAGGGUGCGUAGGUGGCGCUGUAAGUCGGGUGUGAAAUUUCGGAGCUUAACUCCGAAACUGCAUUCGAUACUGCGGUGCUUGAGGACUGGAGAGGAGACUGGAAUUCAUGGUGUAGCAGUGAAAUGCGUAGAGAUCAUGAGGAAGACCAGUGGCGAAGGCGGGUCGUCUGGGCCGAUACUGACGCUGAGGAGCGAAAGCGUGGGGAGCGAACAGG